UUGAUUCUCCACAGAUCUCAUUCAGAGAAGAUCUCUCUUCUUCUCUUCCUUAAUUUUAAUCCAUGUUUUAUUUUUCUCUUCUCAUACUUCUUCUGUUUCUUUUAGAUCUGUGAUUCUUUCAAAAUAAAUCACCACCGCUUCAGCUCCUCGGACCACCAUCGCCAUCUCUCCAGCUCCAAGGACCGCUAUCACCACCACUACUGCAGCUCCUCGGACCGCUUCGCCACCUGUAUGUAACUAAUUUUUAUUUAAUAUAACAUAUAUCUCUUUCUUAUCUUGAUUCUCCACAGAUCUCAUUCAGAGAAGAUCUCUCUUCUUCUCUUCCUUAAUUUUAAUCCAUGUUUUAUUUUUCUCUUCUCAUACUUCUUCUGUUUCUUUUAGAUCUGUGAUUCUUUCAAAAUAAAUCACCACCGCUUCAGCUCCUCGGACCACCAUCGCCAUCUCUCCAGCUCCAAGGACCGCUAUCACCACCACCACUGCAGCUCCUCGGACCGCUUCGCCACCGCCUCAACUCCUUCCACACCACCACUGCCGUAACUCCUUCCCUGCCAUUGCCGCUCACUCUCCCUUCACUGUGAAGGCUUCAUACGCUACAUCUCCAACUUCAUAUUCACACUUUAGAUCUACGCUGUUGCACCCUACGCCGAGACCAUCGUACCCGGAGCCCUUACACGGCCACCGGCA
rnacentral:lncRNA from 1 species